rnacentral:rRNA from 1 species
UACGGAGGGUGCAAGCGUUUAUCCGGAUUCACUGGGUUUAAAGGGUGCGUAGGCGGGUUGGUAAGUCCGUGGUGAAAUCCCCAAGCUUAACUUGGGAACUGCCGUGGAUACUAUCAAUCUUGAAUAUCGUGGAGAUAAGCGGAAUAUGUCAUGUAGCGGUGAAAAUGCUUAGAUAUGACAUAGAACACCAAUUGCGUAGGCAGCUUACUACACGAUCAUUGACGCUGAGGCACGAAAAGCGUGGGGGAGCAAAACAGG